AAUAGUUAUGACAUCCGUGCUAUAUCAUUGGAGAAACCUUAUAUAGUAUAUCAACAAGAAAUGACGGAAUCUUUACUACUCGUGAAAGAAGAAGAAAAAAGGCAGCAUGAGGAUCUGCAUAUUAUUUAGCCUUAUAACUAUGAGUGUUGCUGGCCCCACAUGUCCCAUCAACCAACACUAUGAAUCGUGUGGAAAUGCUUGUCCUUCUACCUGUGAAAGUCUUGAUAAACACCCAGUGAUAUGUGUUGCCAUGUGUGUUCCAGGAUGCCAGUGUAAUCAGGGAUAUUUGAUGACAGAAAGGGGCCUCUGCGUAAAGCCCGAAGAUUGCCCAUAAUAAGGAAAAGGAAAUCUCAUAAGUAACCAUAAUGUUGUGCAACUCUGGCAGCAAAAUAGUAAUAGAUUCGUAUUAUAAGUUUUACAAAUAUAUGCAUGAAUGUGUACUGUAGAAUUUGCAAGUGGUUCAUAAUUGUAUAUUGCUUUAUCUGUUGCUUGCUUGAAAGAACUGUAUUACAAAUAAAUUAUAUUACAAAUAAAA